rnacentral:rRNA from 1 species
UGGGGAAUUUUGGACAAUGGGCGAAAGCCUGAUCCAGCAAUGCCGCGUGUGUGAAGAAGGCCUUCGGGUUGUAAAGCACUUUUGUCCGGAAAGAAAUCCUUGGCUCUAAUACAGUCGGGGGAUGACGGUACCGGAAGAAUAAGCACCGGCUAACUACGUGCCAGCAGCCGCGGUAAUACGUAGGGUGCAAGCGUUAAUCGGAAUUACUGGGCGUAAAGCGUGCGCAGGCGGUUUGCUAAGACCGAUGUGAAAUCCCCGGGCUCAACCUGGGAACUGCAUUGGUGACUGGCAGGCUAGAGUAUGGCAGAGGGGGGUAGAAUUCCACGUGUAGCAGUGAAAUGCGUAGAGAUGUGGAGGAAUACCGAUGGCGAAGGCAGCCCCCUGGGCCAAUACUGACGCUCAUGCACGAAAGCGUGGGGAGCAAACAGGAUUAGAUACCCCUGGUAGUCCACGCCCUAAACGAUGUCAACUAGUUGUUGGGGAUUCAUUUCCUUAGUAACGUAGCUAACGCGUGAAGUUGACCGCCUGGGGAGUACGGUCGCAAGAUUAAAACUU